rnacentral:rRNA from 1 species
GAUGAACGCUGACAGAAUGCUUAACACAUGCAAGUCAACUUGAAUUUGGGUUUUUAACUUAGGUUUGGGUGGCGGACGGGUGAGUAACGCGUAAAGAACUUGCCUCACAGCUAGGGACAACAUUUGGAAACGAAUGCUAAUACCUAAUAUUAUGAUAAUAGGGCAUCCUAUAAUUAUGAAAGCUAUAAGCGCUGUGAGAGAGCUUUGCGUCCCAUUAGCUAGUUGGAGAGGUAACGGCUCACCAAGGCGAUGAUGGGUAGCCGGCCUGAGAGGGUGAUCGGCCACAAGGGGACUGAGACACGGCCCUUACUCCUACGGGAGGCAGCAGUGGGGAAUAUUGGACAAUGGACCGAGAGUCUGAUCCAGCAAUUCUGUGUGCACGAUGAAGUUUUUCGGAAUGUAAAGUGCUUUCAGUUGGGAAGAAAAAAAUGACGGUACCAACAGAAGAAGUGACGGCUAAAUACGUGCCAGCAGCCGCGGUAAUACGUAUGUCACGAGCGUUAUCCGGAUUUAUUGGGCGUAAAGCGCGUCUAGGUGGUUAUGUAAGUCUGAUGUGAAAAUGCAGGGCUCAACUCUGUAUUGCGUUGGAAACUGUAUAACUAGAGUACUGGAGAGGUAAGCGGAACUACAAGUGUAGAGGUGAAAUUCGUAGAUAUUUGUAGGAAUGCCGAUGGGGAAGCCAGCUUACUGGACAGAUACUGACGCUAAAGCGCGAAAGCGUGGGUAGCAAACAGG